rnacentral:piRNA from 1 species
UCAUCGACAGUUCUACUCUGUAGCUUUGC